rnacentral:lncRNA from 1 species
CAAAAGCGCGAGCUGGGGUCUGACGUCACCAGCCACUGUUCUCGUUCACCCGUUCGGUGAGCUAUUGCAUGGAAUGCAUUUUGCCAUUGCUAGUUGUGCGUGUCGAAUAACUGUGUUGUUUGCUCGGUGUUUAUAUUAUUGUAUUUAGUGUAUGAUAUACUUUAUCAAAAUUAAAAACAAAUCUGCCUAAUAUAAGUAGUAUAUAGUGCUGGAAUGCCAAAGCACAACUUUCAGAAUAUCCAACAAACAUUUUUUUACUCUAAUAGCAGAACCAAAAACGUAGAUUAAAAUGGCUAGAGGCAGGCUUGCGAGAUAAAAAGGAUAUUUCACAAAGUAGCAAAGGUCUUUAUUUCUGUGAGGAUUAUUUCGAUUUGGAACAAGACAUGGAUAACUAUAUUAUAUAAUUCAAGAUUAUGGGUGGUCCCAAAAUUAUUAAGUCAGGUGUUGUCCCGCACUUAUUUGAUUGUCAACUAGAUAGAAAACGAGCGUUUUCUCAACCUGAGGGAAGCAGCCCUUAAAAGGAUUAAACGAUAACUUCUAGAUGCCGCUUCUACAUCUAAGUCUGUUCUAGAGGACAAUGAUGAUAAGAGACAGUGUGAUCCUAAUUUCACAAACUUAGUUCAAUCAGGACCUGAAUUAAACCAACCAGCUUUACCUCAAAAACGGUAUCUCAAUAAAGAUAUUCAGUGUACAUUUCAAAGGAGUGUUACAAUCGAGUUGUCACCAUUCCAAAUACAUAAUAAGGAUGCAGAAACUUCACCUAUAAAAGACUUAAAAUAUUAUUUGAAGAUACAAAAAAUGAAUCAGAAAGUUCUGUAUUUGAAGAGUAUAGUGAAUAUAGUGGUAGUGACGACUGUUGGUACAAUGAAAGUUAUUCUUUAUCUUGUGAUGAAGAUACGAAAGAAGAGGAAGCAAAACAAUUUAAAAGUUUGUCUCUGAAUUGUACAGUGAUAAAGUUUCAAUACAGACCUAGAUUGUAUACGUUUCAUUUUAUACGUUUUAGUUAAUGGAAAUAAAACAAAAACAA